rnacentral:rRNA from 1 species
AACGAACGCUGGCGGCGCGCCUAACACAUGCAAGUCGAACGAGAAUCCGGGGCAACCCGGUAGUAAAGUGGCAAACGGGUGAGGAAUACAUGGGUAACCUACCCUUGAGAAGGGAAUAACCCGCCGAAAGGUGAGCUAAUACCCUAUACGCUAUCAUUUUUACGAAAAAGNUAGGAAAGCCAGGUCGAGGACCUGGUACUCAAGGAGGGGCUCAUGUCCUAUCAGCUUGUUGGUGGGGUAACGCCUACCAAGGCUGCGACGGGUAGCUGGUCUGAGAGGAUGAUCAGCCACACUGGCACUGAGAUACGGGCCAGACUCCUACGGGAGGCAGCAGUGAGG